UGCAAAGAAUCCUUGUGCCUACUUAUGAUUCCCAAGCCUCCCUCCUCUAACUAAAAAAUAAGCAAUUUUCAUCUAUACUCCUUGGAAAUAUAGAAACCUAUAUGUACAGACAUGGUGAAGAGAAUGGACAGACUAAUUUUGAGCUAUAUAACUUGCUAGCUUAGUGACUUAAAACUAAUGACUUCACCUUGAUAAGCCUUAGUUUUCACAUCUCUAAAAUGGGACCAUUAAUUGUACCUACCUCUUAGGGUUAAUGCAGCUCAUUCAGAUUCUGGGGCCUCCUCACCUGGGACACAGAACCUCCGCUGCCUAAGCUGCGGCUGGAGCUGGAGCCCGACCUGGAGCUGGAGCUGAAGCUGGAGCUGGAGUCAACACCUGGGAAAGAGCUGAAGCCGGGGCUGGGAAUUGGAGGUCCCACAUCCCCCAAAUCCCCUGCAGCUUGGCCAAGGAAGAAGAAAAGGGAGUGAUUUCCAAGCAAGAGAAAUUGUACAAGUUAAAGAACAUAGGCAACUCAAAUUCUCUCCAGGGUCAUGAUUAUGCCCUUGUACCUACAAUCUCAUGUAGCCCACUCUAGCAACUCAUACUUGGAUUCGAGUUCUUAAGGUUAUUCCUCAGCCUGACCUGAACACCAAAUCAACAUUCUCACUCCCUAAGCCUAUCCUAUAUCAAGAACUACCUAAAUUUUGCCAUGUUAUUGUGGUUUAGAAGAUCAAAACCCCCAAUUACAGAAUUUUCAGCCAAAUACUUAUGUUUUCAAUCUGCAGCAAAAUCAUUCCUGUUGACAAAAUGCAGAACCAAACUAGUAAAAAUGGCAACUAAUGGAAAACAGGGCAAACUUCUACGCAAAUGCAGAAAGGCAACAACUGAAGUGUUGAAAGGUAGCAUGUACUAAUUUGGGGGGAAAAAGAGAAGCUUUACACCCUCCACAGAGAAAGUUUGGACUAAUGAGCCAUAACAGUGCCCAGAAGCCUUUCCCCACCACCAUCACAAGGGGUGAAUGGACUCAGGAGACACCAAACU
rnacentral:lncRNA from 10 species